AACUUUCAGCAACGGAUCUCUUGGCUCCGGCACCGAUGAAGAACGCAGCGAGAUGCGAUAAGUAAUGCGAAUUGCAGAAUCCAGCGAGCCAUCGAAUCUGUGAACGCACAUUGCGCCCGCCGGCAUCCCGGCGGGCAUGCCUGUCCGAGCGUCGCCUCCGCCCGUCAAGCCCGGCUUGUGCUGGGGCACCGCGGCCGCCGCGGGCCCCGAAAGACAGUGGCGGUACCGCCGCCGCGCCGAGCGCAGUACUCGCAACGCUCCGGCGCGGCGGCGGCCUCCAGCCUGAGACCCCCGACCCCGACCCCGCACGACGACCUCGGAUCAGGCAGGAAUACCCGCCGAACUUAAGCAUAUCAAUAAGCGGAGGCU
rnacentral:misc_RNA from 1 species